GGGGCUGCUCCCGGGCUGGACAAGGAGGUGCUGGCGUAGUCCGACUAGCAGCAGCCGCUGCUCCCCGGUGGUUCAGAGCCGCGCGAGCUGAGCGUUUCGCCUACAAAAGCAUCUUCGGAUCGGUUUCCCACCGCCGAAUGUUGCUUGAGCCAAUGUGACUGGCUCUAGGAGGAAAUAAAUCACAUCUGUCAAAAGAGCCUCGAGUCGAAGGAUAGGAGAAACCUCGAAUUUGGUGGGUGCUGACCAAGGCACCAUGCAAGGGGUUAACUUUGCUUUAGGGGGUGACCUGGCUGGCUGCUGCAGUUGCCGUUAACAGCCACCGAAUGGAUGAGACUCCAGAUCCACCUCCUCCUGCGUUCCUCAAAACAGGAAGAUGGAGAACUACGGAGAGCUACUUCCCAGAGGGGCCGAUGGCAAGCACUCCCUUCAAGGAAACUGGGGAAGUUGCCCGAUUUUGAUCGUUUCCAUCCAAACACCCACCAGACAAUAUAUACAUACACAUUUCUAAAUUAACAGCAUUGGCAAAAACU
rnacentral:lncRNA from 1 species